AGAGUUUGAUCAUGGCUCAGGACGAACGCUGGCGGCGUGCCUAACACAUGCAAGUCGAACGAAGCUUUUGAUUUCGGUUGAGAGCUUAGUGGCGGACGGGUGAGUAACGCGUGAGUAACCUGCCUUACAGAGGGGGAUAACGUCUGGAAACGGACGCUAAUACCGCAUGACAUUUCUUUAUCACAUGGUAAAGAAAUCAAAGGAGCAAUCCGCUGUAAGAUGGACUCGCGUCCGAUUAGCUAGAUGGUGAGAUAACAGCCCACCAUGGCGACGAUCGGUAGCCGGACUGAGAGGUUGAACGGCCACAUUGGGACUGAGACACGGCCCAGACUCCUACGGGAGGCAGCAGUGGGGGAUAUUGCACAAUGGAGGAAACUCUGAUGCAGCAACGCCGCGUGAAGGAUGAAGGUCUUCGGAUUGUAAACUUUUGUACUUGGGGACGAUAAUGACGGUACCCAAGCAGCAAGCUCCGGCUAACUACGUGCCAGCCGCCGCGGUAAUC
rnacentral:rRNA from 1 species